rnacentral:rRNA from 1 species
UAGGGAAUCUUCGGCAAUGGACGAAAGUCCUGACCGAGCAACGCCGCGUGAGUGAAGAAGGUUUUCGGAUCGUAAAACUCUGUUGGUAGAGAAGAACGUUGGUGAGAGUGGAAAGCUCAUCAAGUGACGGUAACUACCCAGAAAGGGACGGCUAACUACGUGCCAC